CAAUUCAAAAUUUUCCGUUUUCGACUUUUUGUGAUAAAUCGGCCCAAAACAAACAGUUCUAGCACCACAAUUUAAUAAAAAAAGAAUAAAGGCUCAAAUCAAACGAGCGCUGAAUUUGUGUCUCUUUCACACGGAGGAUUUCCUCCCGUCCUUCUUCCCGCGAAAGAGGCCCAUUUAGUAAGGCGCCAGUAUUUGUGCAAGCAUCACGCCGCGCGUGGAAGCCAAUUUCGAUUUAGGCCCGUCUAUCAUGAAUAAUCUGAAUAUUUUAAGAAAAGUCGCCGUGUUCACAAAAAAUUUUGAACAUGCUAAAUUCGUCGAUUCCACCGCCUCGAAUCAUACAAAAAACUACAGGUUCAAAAGAUAAGAUUUUAACUCAGAUAUUAUUGAAAAACAGAAUAUUCCUUUAUGUAGUCCGCCAAAACAUGACGACACAAUAUCUAAUAGUCUUGAAAAAUUCAAUAACUCUGAUACUACUCCCAAUAUUCUCGUAACUGACACCACUUUAACUAUUGCAUCUACAUCUAUGAGAUCAAGGGCAUCUUCUACUCCAGCUCGUCGUCUAGUUCCAGCAGCAGUAGUAGUAGUAGUUCAUCAUCCCGUAGUGGUACACCAAUAAAUAGAGAAAAAUCUGUAACACCUCAAGACAAACAACCUGAAAUUCAGAUAUCAGAUUCACCUUCAAUUUUAAUAAUAUUGAAACGAGGCCUGCACGUCGAGCCCCUGCAGUAAAUUAUCAUGUUUCACCGAUAAAUUCUGGAGAAAGUGAGGUCGAUCUUAGCGACAAUGAUCCUACCUAUAACCAAGGAAGUAGACCACGUUUAUCAACCACCACAUCUUUGUCUUCUGCAACAGAAACCAUAGCUGAAGUGUCCACAUCUAAGAAAUUAACAAGAAAACGUAAAGCCGACCCUACCAAGUGGAAGCAGAAUCAGCAAAAGAUCAAACGAAACUUAGGAGAAGCAUACACAUCUACUAAUACCAAAAAACGAAUUCUUGCUCGGGAAAUGAAGCCACCAUGUACUCAAAAAUUAAAAUGCAGUGAAAAAAUUAAUGGUAGUAAAAGAAUUGAAUAUUUUAAAUCCUUCUGGGCAUUAGGAAGCCUUCAACUCCAACGUAUUUUUAUUUUAUCAAGCAUAUCUUUUGUUACACCUAAAUAUAAAUACACAAAUGCAGAAUUGUUUGAUUGCUUUUUGGUUCUUUUUAAGAAUAGGUAUUCGCUUUUUUUAAUAUUCUUUUUUAUUUUAUAAGAAAUAAAGAAG